CCUGCGGGGUUGGGCAAGAAGAGCCAUAUUUCUCUUCUUGCAGAGAGCCUGUAAAUGGACAUGCAAGAAGGGAAGAUAUCGCUAAAUUCUUUUCCUAGCAAGGAAUAUUGAUAUUAAUACUCUGGGAAAGGAAUUCAUUCCUGGGGGAAGGCCUAUAAAUGGCCACUCUGGGAAUGCCUGUCCUAUGCGAUUGAGAUAAGGACUGAGAUACACCCUGGUCUCCUGAAGUACCCUCAGGCUUACUAGGGUGGGGAAAAACCCCACCCUGGUAAAUUUGAGGUCAGACGAGUUCUCUGAUCUCAAACCCUGUUUUCUGUUGUUUAAGAUGUUUAUCAAGACAAUAUGUGCACCGCUGAACAUAGAUCCUUAUCAGUAAUUCUGCUUUUGCCCUUUGCCUUGUGAUCUUUCCUUUUGCCCUUUGCAUUGUGAUCUUUGUUGGACCCUUAUCAGGAGUUUCUGAUUUUGCCUUUGUCCUGUUUCCUCAGAAGCAUGUGAUUUUUGUUCUCCUUUUUGCCCUUUGAAGCAUGUGAUCUUUGUGAUCUACUCUCUGUUCUUGCACCCCCUCCUACCAAUAUGUGAUGUCACCCCCAGUGGCCCAGCUGUAAAAUUUCUCUCUUUGUACUCUUUCUCUUUAUUUCUCAGCCGGCCGACACUUAUGGAAAAUAGAAAGAACCUACAUUGAAAUAUUGGGGGUGGGCUCCCCCGAUAGCAAAUAUAACAUAGUGUGGAAUAAUCAAGAUUGUGAAAGUAAGCAUAAGCAACCGAUUUUAAAGCACCAUAAAGGAGGGUAUGCUGAUUUGAUGUUUCAGGAUUAGGGAAGGCAUCCUGGAAAAAGAGAACAGCAAAGCAGAGAUCUAAAGGACAAAGAAAAGAUGGGCAUGUCAACAAAGCUCGAGGAGCAUGGGCUCAGGUUGGUUAAGCAACUUGCACAUCUAGAAAAUGAUAGAGUUGCAAUCUAAAGUUUAUGAUAUUUCUGCUAGUGUACACUGUUAAAAGAAGGUCUUUGUCUAAUGAGAACAGGAGUGGGUCAACCAAACAAAUUGCAAAGAAAAGCAGAUUUUAGCCAGUCCAACCCAUGUGGAACUCUAUGUUGAGGUCCCAUUUAAGGCUCAAUCUCCAGAAACAGAUGAGCAGACCAGAUGUACACAGCUAGCCUGCUACCUUGAUGGUUCAAUAAUUCCCAUUAUAGUGAUUGGAAUCUAAUGUUGGUAAGAUCUGAGGCUCAGAGAGCCUUCAUUUCCCCCUUUUAAUUCCACCACAUGGAAAAGAGCUGCAAUUUAAUCUCCAGACUAGACAGGAAUGGCUACUUCCUCUCUGGAUGGACCCCUGCAGAUACCAUUGACCUAAAAUGUAAAAAAAAAAAAAAAAAAAAAAAAAAGUGUUAGCAAGUCCCUAGGCUUACCAUAUCUAUUAUACAAAGCACACAGGAAUUCCAUUGACAGGAGGCUAAUACAUGCUGUGUGGCAGCAGCAGCAGUAAGAGCAACAACCAUAUACAGCUGCAACACAGGCACCAUGAAUCUGCUUGAGAUGUAACUUUAUUAGAUAGAUGGCCCUAUUUGAUUAAUCAUAGCAACUAGUGGGAAACACUAUUUGCAUAGAGCAUAUCUUUUCUGUCCUAGCAUCCAUUUGUGGGUAAGACACAUUUGAUAAAAAGCAGUUAGGGAAUGGGCAUCAGGUGCAUAAAAGGUUUACGUUGUUUUUAUGAACAAAAUUGCUGUUUACAAAUAUCACACAGCAGGUUCUCUGUUUUAUGGACAGAAAUAAUUCACUCUUAAGCUAUAAAGGUCUCUGGGAAAUGGAUUUGCUUAUCUCCAUCUCAUUUUAAAUUAUGAGGAGCCCAUGCCACCAUCCCAGAGGUUUCUACCUUUCCUGGCCAUGCUUUGAAUAUUCACACACACCACCCAAAUGAUGAAUACUAUCUGGGGAGGCUUGCCGGCCACAGUUCAUUUACAGCACGUUAGCUAAAUGUCAUUAUUCUUUGCAAAGUGCAGGCAAACACAGAGGUUUCUAUAGAAAAAAAAAAAAAAAGCCAUACUCUUUAUUUUUCCAAGAGGGGUACGUUUUACGUUAUUUCAAGAGAACAGGAGAACAAAGAUUGCAGGCAAAUAAAAAGUAAUUCCCAUUAUAAAGCAGUAUUGAAGUAAUCUUCCCAGGCACAGUUUAAUAUUAAAAAAAGAAUUUAAAGGAUUCACUUUUGGGGUGGCCUAUUUUAAGUGUUCUUUAUUCUUUUUGACUUGAAAGAACCAACUACCUCAUUUGGAAAAUGAGAUUGGCUCUUAAAUUUAUUACUGAUAUCAUACAUUUAGUAAGAGAGGAAGGACCUUUUUCCUCUGCUUGACUGUUAGAGUUAUUUAUAGGACUUCUGGUUUUAAAUGGCAAUUAGCACACACUUUGGUUAUCAGUAGCAGCAUCUUAGUAACCAUAAGAAAACAUAAUAUUACCAAAACAAGAAAAGAAUAAAAUCCUAGCAAGACUAAAGGAGAAAAAGACACAAAAAACCUAUAUUUAAAACUUUUAGAGUUAACUAUGCAAAUGAAACCUAAUUAUAAUUACAGAAUGAAUUACAAACAUUCUAUUAUUAUACAUUUUUAAAUGAGCUAGAGGGAAGAGAAAGAAUAAAAAAGAGGGUAAAUGUUGACUUGUAAAAAUUGAAUCAUCAAAAACUAUAUUGCUAUAAUACUAAUCAUUAAACUAAUAGAAAACUAAACAAUGAGAAUAUUUUAUAUUCCAUUUGUUGGUAUUGUUUUAAAGGUCGUGUUUCAUGUGCACAUAUUUCCCCUUUAAAUUAAAAGAUAAGAUAUCUAGCUAGAUAACCUUUGAUAAAUAAUAAAUAAUAUCCACAACAUAUUAUUAAAUAAUAAAAGCAAGUCAUAAGACAGUGUAUAUAUGCACUUUGGAGGCUGAGGCGGGCAGAUCACAAGGUCAGGAGAUU
rnacentral:lncRNA from 1 species